AAUAAUGACCCCAAGCGAACUUCCAAGAAAAGUCUCUAAGCUUCAGGUAUAUACAGCCCGUACCGUAAACCGACACAGGUAGUCGAGGAGAGCAUCCUAAGGCGCUCGAGUGAAUCGUGGUUAAGGAACUAGGCAAAAUGGUCUCGUAACUUCGGGAGAAGAGACGCUCCGCUUUUAAACGGAGCCGCAGUGAAGAGGCCCAGGCGACUGUUUAGCAAAAACACAGGACUCUGCAAACUCGUAAGAUGAAGUAUAGGGUCUGACACCUGCCCGGUGCUGGAAGGUUAAGGAAGGGGGUUAGCACUUCGGUGCGAAGCUCUUGACUGAAGCCCCAGUAAACGGCGGCCGUAACUAUAACGGUCCUAAGGUAGCGAAAUUCCUUGUCGGGUAAGUUCCGACCUGCACGAAUGGUGUAACGAUCUGGGCACUGUCUCAACCACGAGCUCGGUGAAAUUGAAGUAUCGGUGAAGAUGCCGAUUACCCGCAACGGGACGAAAAGACCCCGUGCACCUUUACUACAACUUCACAUUGUGCUUGAAUACAGGAUGUGUAGGAUAGGUGGGAGACUUUGAAGCUUAUACGCCAGUAUAGGUGGAGUCAACCUUGAAAUACCACCCUUCCUGUAUUUAGGUUCUAACCCCGCGAAAACGGGGGACAUUGUGUGGUGGGUAGUUUGACUGGGGUGGUCGCCUCCAAAAGAGUAACGGAGGCUCGCAAAGGUACCCUCAGUACCGUUGGUAAUGGUACGAAGAGCGUAUAAGUAUAAGGGUGCUUGACUGAGAGAGAGACAUCUCGAUCAGGUAGGAAACUAGGCUUAAGUGAUCCGGUGGUUCCGUAUGGAAGGGCCAUCGCUCAAAGGAUAAAAGGUACGCCGGGAUAACAGGCUUAUCUCCCCCAAGAGCUCAUAUCGACGGGGAGGUUUGGCACCUCGAUGUCGGCUCGUCACAUCCUGGGGCUGGAGAAGGUCCCAAGGGUUGGGCUGUUCGCCCAUUAAAGUGGCACGCGAGCUGGGUUCAGAACGUCGCAAGACAGUUCGGUCUCUAUCUGUUGUGGGCGCAGGAAUAUUGAAGAGAUCUGACUCUAGUACGAGAGGACCGAGUUGGACGAACCGCUAGUGUACCAGUUGUGUCGCCAGAUGCAUUGCUGGGUAGCUACGUUCGGAAUGGAUAAGCGCUGAAAGCAUCUAAGCGCGAAGCCAACUCUAAGAUGAGUAUUCCAU
rnacentral:rRNA from 1 species